rnacentral:ribozyme from 1 species
UGCCAAGCAACUCCUAUUCCUACCUCCGCAUGGUACCGGCUGGAAACUACGAGCAACCUUAAGGAAGAUCAGGUAACCAACUCAUUCUGAGCGUCUGUUCUCCAAGAGGAGC